GGAAUAUAAGAACCCGUCUCUUAACUUUUAACUAAAAAAGUUAAGAACCGGUUUUUAAAACUCUUAUUUAAGAACCGGUUCUUAAAACUCUUAUUUAAGAACCGGUUCUUAGUUUUUUUAGUUAAAAAUUAAGAGACAGAUUAUUAUAUUCC
rnacentral:pre_miRNA from 1 species